CCUACGGGUGGCAGCAGUGAGGAAUAUUGGUCAAUGGGCGGAAGCCUGAACCAGCCAAGUAGCGUGCGGGAUGAAGGCCCUACGGGUCGUAAACCGCUUUUGCACGGGGAUAACACCCUCCACUUGUGGAGGUCUGCAUGUACCGUGCGAAUAAGGGCCGGCUAAUUCCGUGCCAGCAGCCGCGGUAAUACGGAAGGCCCGAGCGUUAUCCGGAUUCAUUGGGCUUAAAGGGAGCGUAGGCGGGCGUUCAAGGUGGCUGGAAAAUCGCGGGGCUCAACCGCGCCCCGCAGUUGAAACUGGGCGGCUUGAGUCCACAAAAGGCAGGCGGAAUUCGUGGUGUAGCGGUGAAAUGCAUAGAUAUGACGAGGAACCCCGAUUGCGAAGGCAGCUUGCCGGGGUGCGACUGACGCUGAGGCUCGAAGGUGCGGGUAUCGAACAGGAUUAGAUACCCGGGUAGUC
rnacentral:rRNA from 1 species